GCUGCCUUGUGUAGAAACAGAGGCCCUAGGCCAGCCUUAAGACCUGUUCAGGUUUGGGGGAGUUGCCUCUGCUGUACAGCUGAACUGAUCUGUUGGUCAGGGAUUGUUAGAAAUACCUAAUUUUAUCUCAGCAAACCAACCUACUACUCCAGACUUACACCUGAAUCUUGGGAAUUUUAAAAGGCUGGCAGUUGGGAAUCCCUGUUCUACUGAGAAGUGUUGCCGCCUACUACCUUGGACAGCUCGAAGAGAUUCCAGAGCUGAAGAAAUGAGAAAAGACAUAGAGACAGCGGAGACCAGGGGUUUUGGUGCUCACCGGCAUCUGGACCCCAAUUUCCCAUAAGCAAGCUUAUUUAUUAGAUUUAGUACCAGGAAGGUUACCAUGGGGACAUGCAGAAAACAAGACAUCUGUGCUAUUAUUACAAUCAUGGAGACAAAACAGACUUUCUGUGAAUAGCUGGCUCCCUUCUUGUUUGGGGAGCAAAGAUUGCAAUCCAGGCAUGAUUCAGACAUGUAUUCUAUUCUAUCUAGCUUUCAAGGUCCAGCCCUCAGCCCUUCCAACUCUAAGAAAGGAGGCGGCCUUCCAGGCUCUUAAAGCUCUCCAGAGCUGUCCCAACCUUUCCGUGGCUGGUUCUCAGCGUUCCCAGUACCAUCGAGGCAGCAUUCCAACCCCUCCAACCUUUUCCAGGUCACACAACUCAGCUUCAGAGUUCCCUACCGAGAGGCCUUUUGACAAUAAACGUACUGCUAAGUUAAUUGUGAUUUCAGUUGGCUAAAAUAUCCUAAAGAAUAGCUAAUUCUGCUUGUAGCUCAUCUAGUAGUAUUUCUACUUUAGUGAGUUUUAGCUCUGAAUCAACUCUAAUAAAAAAUGACAAUGUUUUCUCAAGCAUUAGUAAUAACUUGGUCCUGGAGCUAUCUCUGCAUACCAACAGUAAACACUUUUAACUACCUUGAGCUGGGAAUGUUGAUAGAAUGUUUUUCACAUAAGGAUUUCCAAUAGUUUUUUUUUUU